UGUUGAUGGAUCACCUGCUGAUGUUGCUGGGUUAUGUGUCGGUGAUGUUAUUGUAAAAUGCGGUGAAAAAGUUCUUCUGACUGCUCCAGAGUUUGGUUCAAUGUUAUUGGAUGCUGCGGUGGCCCAUGUUGAAUCCUUUGGAGGUUGUGAUGGAGACAUGAUAAUUGAGGUUGCGAUAAAGCGACGAAGAGAUGGCAACACACUAUCAAAAACUAUAGUUGUGGAGAUGCUGAAAGAGAACAAUUAUAACAGG